rnacentral:rRNA from 1 species
AGAGUUUGAUCCUGGCUCAGAUUGAACGCUGGCGGUAUGCUUAACACAUGCAAGUCGAACGGCAGCAUGGUGUGUAGCAAUACACACUGAUGGCGAGUGGCGGACGGGUGAGUAACACGUAGGAAUCUGCCCUAAAGCGGGGGAUAACCCGAGGAAACUCGGGCUAAUACCGCAUAUAUUCUGAGGAAGAAAGCUGGGUUUAGGCCUGGCACUUUAGGAGGAGCCUGCGUCUGAUUAGCUAGUUGGUAGGGUAAAGGCCUACCAAGGCGACGAUCAGUAGGUGGUCUGAGAGGAUGAUCACCCACACUGGGACUGAGACACGGCCCAGACUCCUACGGGAGGCAGCAGUGGGGAAUAUUGGACGAUGGGGGCAACCCUGAUCCAGCAAUACCGCGUGUGUGAAGAAGGCCUUCGGGUUGUAAAGCACUUUAGGCGGGGAAGAAGGUUGGUAGUUUAAGAGA